UGGGUAUUAGGUUUUGGGGCUAGGUUAAGGUUUAAGGUUUUUGGCGUAGGGUUAAAAUCACUGUCCAAAACCUUUUUAGGAACAUGUUUCAGACCUUUUGGAGUUAGUUAGACCAAAAAAAUUUAAAAUGAAAAAAAAAAUAUUUGGGGUGUUCGGGCUUCCUGAAGGUAAUACGGUAUUAGGUUUCUGGGCUAGGGUAAGGUUUAAGGUUUUUGGCGUUAGGGUUAAAAUCACUGUCCAAAACCUUUGUAGGAACAUUUUCCAACCUUUGAGAGCAAGUUAGACCAAAAAAAAAGAAAAUGAAAAAAUAUAUAUUUGGGGUGUUCGGGCUUCCUGAAGGUAAUACCCGGGUAUUAGGUUAUGGGGCUAGGGUAAGGUUUAAGGUUUUUGGCGUUAGGGUUAAAAUCACUGUCCAAAACCUUUGUAGGAACUCUUUUCCAACCUUUUGGGAGUUAGUUAGACAAAAAAAAAAGAAAAAAAAAUAUAUAUAUUUGGGGUGUUCGGGCUUCCUGAAGGUAAUACCCGGGUAUUAGGUUUUGGGGCUAGGGUAAGGUUUAAGGUUUUUGGCGUUAGGGUUAAAAU